AGCCGAGAAAGUUUGAACCCAUCCAACGCUAAAGCUAAAACCGACUGCAGGUUUUACAGGCUUUUGACGGUAAGUUUACAGACUUGCUGUACCCGAUUUUGCAGAGAAGAUUUCAGACCAGUGCUGUAAUCAUGGAAAGUUGACAUCAUGAAUUUGGCAUGCAAAUCAUGUGAUCUUGUUCGAGGGACACUUCCAUGUUUGGAUUCUUGACAUGGUAUAAAAGAAUAUUGUAGUCUAAAAUCAUAAAUGUUAAACAUAUAUCAACGAGGUUUCUUAUUGUCUUAGUCAUUCUGUUCAAUGUUUAUAAGGGAUUUCCGAGCCAUCAAACCACCACUUAUUGAUAUACUACCGUCACAAUG
rnacentral:lncRNA from 1 species